UGCACUGGUAGCUCAACGCCAGAGCGCCGGCCUUGUAAGCCGGCGGCCGGAGGUUAAAAUCCCCCCCAUUGCUC
rnacentral:tRNA from 1 species